CGACCCCACCGCUGCGGUGAGCUCACCCCGAACUGCCCCUGCUGGGGUCGUCGGCUCUAUAAAUUUGAGCAUCUUGCCGGGGAAUGCAGUUUGCUGGUUUGGCUCCUCAAUCUUGUUAUUAAGAUCUGAAGAAGAGCAUCAAGAAUUAAGCCGAAGUGAUGGCGUCUAACUUCGUGAUCAAGGAGGAGAGCUACGACAACCACCAUAGCCACCACCAGGCGCCGUCGCCGCGGGGGGUAGUGCGGCGGAGUUUUUCCUCGAACUCCUCCUCUUGCGGCCCGGGCGUCGCCGGCGGCGCGGCCCCGAAGUGCGUGUGCGCUCCGGCCACCCACGCUGGUUCCUUCAAGUGUCGCCUCCACAGGACCAACUCCCAAGGCCACUCGCCGCGCUCGCCCACCACGAUCCCCUCGCCACGGCCGUCAGGGGCCACCCCCGCUUCUACCGUGGAGGCUCAGUGAAUCACUCCGUCCAUGGAAGAUGAGUUAGAAUAACAAAAAAAAAACAUCGAUUUGGUGAUUCUCGAUUGCUUCAGAGAGGAAAUUGAUGUUUGCAUAUGUGUUGUGUGUUCCGCCCACCCGAUCCUUAACCCCCGCUGCUUCCCCUUCUUUAUGUUUGGUGGAGAGAUCAGAAGGCUAAGAAUAACAAGUGUGGUGUAAAAUCCCCAUCUUUCUUCAGUGAAAGAUAGGGCUACUAGUUUCUUGUGGAGAUCUAUUUGUUGUUAAA